GGAGGGUGCAAGCGUUGUUCGGAAUUACUGGGCGUAAAGCGCGGGCAGGUGGUCCUUUAAGUCCUUUGUGAAAUCCCGGGGCUCAACUCCGGAUGUGCAUAGGAUACUGGAGGACUGGAGACUGGUAGAGGCGAGCGGAAUUCCUGGUGUAGCGGUGGAAUGCGUAGAUAUCAGGAAGAACACCGGUGGCGAAGGCGGCUCGCUGGGCCAGUUCUGACACUCAUCCGCGAAAGCGUGGGGAGCAAACAGGAUUAGAUACCCUGGUAGUCCACGCUGUAAACGAUGGGCACUAGAUGCCGGGCCUAUAGACGGGUUCGGUGUCGCAGCUAACGCAUUAAGUGCCCCGCCUGGGGAGUACGGCCGCAAGGCUGAA
rnacentral:rRNA from 1 species